UACGUAGGGAGCAAGCGUUGUCCGGAUUUAUUGGGCGUAAAGAGCUCGUAGGCGGCUUAGAAAGUCAGGUGUGAAACCUCCAGGCUCAACCUGGAGACGCCACUUGAUACUUCUAUGGCUUGAGUUCGGUAGGGGUAAGCGGAAUUCCUGGUGUAGCGGUGAAAUGCGCAGAUAUCAGGAGGAACACCGAUGGCGAAGGCAGCUUACUGGGCCGAUACUGACGCUGAGGAGCGAAAGCGUGGGGAGCGAACCGG
rnacentral:rRNA from 1 species